rnacentral:rRNA from 1 species
UACGUAGGGACCAAGCGUUGUUCGGAUUUACUGGGCGUAAAGGGCGCGUAGGCGGCAAUUCAAGUCAGCUGUGAAAUCUCCGGGCUUAACUCGGCACGGUCAGCUGAUACUGCUUUGCUAGAGUGCAGAAGGGGCAAUCGGAAUUCUUGGUGUAGCGGUGAAAUGCGUAGAUAUCAAGAGGAACACCUGAGGUGAAGACGGGUUGCUGGGCUGACACUGACGCUGAGGCGCGAAAGCUAGGGUAGCAAACGGG